rnacentral:rRNA from 1 species
UUAGAGUUUGAUCCUGGCUCAGAUUGAACGCUGGCGGCAGGCCUAACACAUGCAAGUCGAACGGUAACAGGAAGCAGCUUGCUGCUUCGCUGACGAGUGGCGGACGGGUGAGUAAUGUCUGGGAAACUGCCUGAUGGAGGGGGAUAACUACUGGAAACGGUAGCUAAUACCGCAUAACGUCGCAAGACCAAAGAGGGGGACCUUCGGGCCUCUUGCCAUCGGAUGUGCCCAGAUGGGAUUAGCUAGUAGGUGGGGUAACGGCUCACCUAGGCGACGAUCCCUAGCUGGUCUGAGAGGAUGACCAGCCACACUGGAACUGAGACACGGUCCAGACUCCUACGGGAGGCAGCAGUGGGGAAUAUUGCACAAUGGGCGCAAGCCUGAUGCAGCCAUGCCGCGUGUAUGAAGAAGGCCUUCGGGUUGUAAAGUACUUUCAGCGGGGAGGAAGGCGAUAAGGUUAAUAACCUUGUCGAUUGACGUUACCCGCAGAAGAAG